UACGUAGGGUGCGAGCGUUGCCCGGAUUUAUUGGGCGUAAAGGGCGCGUAGGCGGCUCUGCACGUCCGUUGUGAAAUCGCCCGGCUCAACUGGGCGGGGUCAGCGGAUACGGCAGAGCUCGAGCAAGCUAGGGGGCAAUGGAAUUCCCGGUGUAGUGGUGAAAUUCGUAGAUAUUAGGAAGAACACCAGUGGCGAAGGCGGCUCACUGGCCCGGUACUGACGCUGAGGCGCGAAAGCGUGGGGAGCAAACAGG
rnacentral:rRNA from 1 species